rnacentral:lncRNA from 1 species
UGUGUUAUUUGCCACGAUACCGUUCCUGGGCAGGUCAUUCCAUACCAAGCGACUUAUUCAUUUUGACUACUUCAGAUUUUUUAUAUGAAAAA